rnacentral:tRNA from 1 species
GCGUCCUUAGCUCAGUGGUAGAGCGCUAUCUUCACACGAUAGAGGCCGAAGGUUCGAUCCCUUCAGGACGCA